UUUGAACAAAAAAACCUGUAAAUAUGGUGUUUGGGUACAUGAGUUAGUGAUGGGCUUGGCAGUGCUGGAUUAACAGUUGGAGUUGAUGAUCUUAGAGGGCUUUUCCAGCUUUAAUGAUUCUGUGAUUCUGUGAACUGUGAGCUGCUGUUUUGCUCACCCCACGGAGAUGAGUGUGCAGCCCACCGUGCUCCAGAGGCACUGCUGAGGGAAGGAACUGCUGGAUGCACAUCACAGGUAAGUGAGACAUGAAGAGCACGUUGCACCUGGGCAAAAGCCUUUUAAUUUCUCUACAUAGUCCAUAUACCCUUUGUAGUAUCUCUCUGAGAAGAGCAAAAUGACCAUUUUAUGGGUGAAUAUGCAGAGCCACGGUGAUAUCGAAUGACUUCUUAGGCCUUGGGCACAGAAGGGUUGUGAACGGCCCAUAAAUGAAAAAGAUGUUUUUCAUCAGAAGUUCUUUGUCUCAGAAGUUCCCCUCCCACCUGGAAUUUAUCCAGCCCUCACUGACCGAUCUUUUGAGGAAAAUGCUGGAGUUGCUAAUCCAUUUAUGUCUUUUGUAAGCCGCGUGAAACUUCGGGAGUGAGUUGGGUUUGAGUGCCGGGUGGUUGUUAAUAAUUCAUGCUUCAUGUGAAAAGAAAAUUGAUCAGAAGCAUCCUGGAGAGACCAAUCUAUGCUGCCUCUGUGAUCAGCUGAGACACAAACCAAAUGGAAGGAACGACUGGAAAGAUAUCACUGAGAAAAGCUGCGCAGACCCAUCCCAAGCCAAGCGGUGUGGAAGGAGAGGGGUGUCAAAGGGAAGAGCAGCACGGGGUCCUUUGAAGCCUGGUCACGGAGAUAAGGAUGUGGGAAAAGAUCCUGCAGCAAAAAGUGGUCAAAAGUUCUUAAGAGGAGGACGAGAGCAGCUCCGUUUCCUGAAGGCAGCACUCCAGAUCAAAGAGUCCUUUGUGGAAAUGUUCAAAACCAACCCAAACCACCUCAUCCUGGGUUAAAGAUGAGCUCCAGUACCUGGGGCUGGAUGGGAGGUCAGAGGAGGAGCACUGGGGGAUGUCUGCAGAUGCUGAGGCUGUGCUGAAGCUGUGAGAUGGACCUGUUGUGUCAAAGAACUCACAGAGAUCUGACCCAGAAAUACAAGAAUUUCACAGUAUCUGAGGAAAUGUGCUGAAGGAAGGUUUUCUGGAGCUUUUCAGAUGGGAAAGGGCCCUCCUGCCCAUUUGCUCACCACAGAGGGAGCCCAGGCUGGUGUGAAGGAGGUUGUGCAGAGGUCACUGCUCUUUCUAGAAGUUUCUGUUUCAAGGUUCAGUGUUUUCUGCAACCUGGUUUCCACAGCCUGGUUUAGAAAAGGCCUCUGCUCUGUGUGCAUACAUGAAAAGUGGGAGUAUGACAAGCAGAGUCAAGGUUUAUCGCAUCUCCAGACAUUUCAAUAUUCUUCAGGAAGGGAAUGCUGGACCCCAGAUGAGAGUCUGGUGGUUUCUGCGGUGGCUUUGCACGAGUUGUCUGGACAAAAGGACAAAGUUUCCCAGGCGACAAUUUGUGGCAUGAAGGUUUGAGUGAGAGGAACUGCACUUUCCGUUGCAUCACUCACGUUUCAAGCCCGAGCUUUCACACAUCCCAUAAGCUGCUUCGAGCCCGUGCAGUUCACAAAGUGAGGGGAAAAAAAAAGGAAUUGAAGAAGCAAAAAUAAAUAUUAAAGCACGUAAGAAUUAAAUAUCACCUAUUCAAAUGGCAAUUAUGCUGUUGAAAACAAGAUCACCACACCUGUACAAGAAAAGACAACCAAGCCCACAACAUCUGUUUGGAUCCACCUGCCAAGCACCUGUUCGGCUGUUUCAAUGCCAUUUGAUUGCUGGAGAUGUAGAGGCUCUUGUGAGGGUUUCUUGCAUAGUUGUGUGCUUUGUGCUGAUGGAAGAUGCUGCAGACUCAGGUCUUUAUCUGCAGACCAGUUUCCAUGCUGGGAUCUGCAUUGUGAAUCAGCCCACGCUCCUCACCACUGGAGAAUUCAUGCUUGGGAUCGUCUCCCAAAGAUGAGGAAGAUGUGGAAGUCAAACUGAGGGAUGCAGCAUCCCCUCUGCCUCUUCCCAAGGGCCAGAACCGUGUGCCUGCUCUUCUGUGAUAUAUUCACACGGGAGGUAUUCUGGAACCGGCCAAGGACACAGCGUUUACAAGAAGGUCCUGACAAGCAUCCAAAAGUCUUUGCUGGAGCUUCCAUCUUAGAUGACCCCACAGAAUGUGAGAAAGCUUUCUUUGAGGGGAAUGGCAUCUUCUGGCUGGAACUACAUCCAGAAAUUCUGCUGUGCUUAACCCGUCCCUGAAAUGCCCCGUGAAAAUGAAUUUAAGGGUGGAGGAAAGAAGAGAAGGAAUGUCUGUGGGAAGGAUGGAAAGGACAACAGGAGGAAAGAGUUGCAAAUGUUUUGAGAACCCAUCAUUUUCCCAGGUUGAUGGGAAGACCCUGGUGACCCAGCUGUGAGUCACGAUUCCCAGCUGGGUGGCUCUGAAGAGAGACAAGAAGCUCGGAUGUGUCCCUGAUCCCCCACCAGCACAGGCCAGGAACAUCUGUCUGCUCCUUCCCUUCCUUCAGACAGUCCCUAGGA